GACGAACGCUGGCGGCGUGCUUAACACAUGCAAGUCGAACGGAAAGGCCCUGCUUUUGUGGGGUGCUCGAUUGGCGAACGGGUGAGUAACACGUGAGUAACCUGCCCUUGACUUUGGGAUAACUUCAGGAAACUGGGGCUAAUACCGGAUAGGAGCUCCUGCUGCAUGGUGGGGGUUGGAAAGUUUCGGCGGUUGGGGAUGGACUCGCGGCUUAUCAGCUUGUUGGUGGGGUAGUGGCUUACCAAGGCUUUGACGGGUAGCCGGCCUGAGAGGGUGACCGGCCACAUUGGGACUGAGAGACGGACCAGAAGCCAACGGGAGGCAGCAGUGGGGAAUAUUGCACAAUGGGCGGAAGCGUGAUGCAGCAACGCCGGGUGCGGGAUGACGGCCUUUGGGUUGUAAACCGAUUUCGCCUGUGACGAAGCGUGAGUGACGGUAAUGGGUAAAGAAGCACCGGCUAACUACGUG
rnacentral:rRNA from 1 species